CGAACGGGUGCGUAACACGUGAGCAACCUACCGAAAUGAGGGGGAUAGCCGUCCCAACGGACGGGUAAUACCGCAUACGCUCUAGUUCAGGCAUUUGGAUUAGAGGAAACCUCCGGGGCAUUUCGAGGGGCUCGCGGCCUAUCAGCUAGUUGGUGAGGUAACGGCUCACCAAGGCGACGACGGGUAGCUGGUCUGAGAGGAUGGCCAGCCACAUUGGGACUGAGACACGGCCCAA
rnacentral:rRNA from 1 species